GGGGUUUUCGCUUUUCAGUGAAAGAGGAGCCACCAGGGUUUCAAGAAGCACCGCAAAACCCCUUGAAGAAUUAGUUAUUCUUGUUGAACGGUGAAAAAAUGGUGGGCAAGAAGGGAGGAAGCAAAGGAAUGGGGGCAGCAGAAGAUGCAGAGGAAGAAUUGGCUCGUACCCCUUUGCAAGCGAUUAUCUUGGCUGAUAGUUUCACCACUAAGUUCCGACCCAUCACUCUUGAACGCCCUAAAGUACUGCUACCAUUGGUCAAUGCCCCUAUGAUAGAUUAUACCUUGGCAUGGCUUGAAUCUGCUGGUGUUGAAGAAGUUUUUGUUUUCUGUUGUGCUCAUUCCAAGCAAGUGAUGGAUUAUUUGGAUAAGUCCAAUUGGUUUGGCCAACCAAACUUUUCAGUCACAACGAUCGAAUCACACAAUGCUAUUAGUGCAGGAGAUGCUUUGCGUUUAAUCUAUGAGCAACAUGUGAUACGCGGUGAUUUUAUCCUCGUCAGUGGAGAUACUGUGAGCAACAUGUCACUAUCACAGGCACUUAAGGAACAUAAGGAGAGACGAAGAAAGGAUAGCAAUGCUGUAAUGACCAUGGUCAUUAAACAAUCAAAGGCUUCACCUGUAACUCGCCAAUCUCGUCUUGGAACUGAAGAGCUUUUUAUGGUAAUUGAUCCAGAGACGAAGCAGCUGCUGUAUUAUGAAGACAGGGGAGAUAAUUUAAAAGGAUAUUUGUCUCUUGACAAGGCAUUGCUCACUUAUAAUACUUCCAUUUCCCUUCAAA
rnacentral:misc_RNA from 1 species